AGGAAACGACCUCGCUCGGCUGGCCUGGGAAGUAAACACUUGCCUAAAAAUGAUGAACAUAGAGCACGAGGCUUUCUGCAAGCUCCGCCGCUCCAUGCACCCCACCUCGCCAGCUGACAUCGAUCCUAAGGUCCACAGCAUCGUGGAGAAAGCUGUGA